UACGUAGGGUGCAAGCGUUAAUCGGAAUUACUGGGCGUAAAGCGUGCGCAGGCGGUUUUGUAAGUCUGACGUGAAAUCCCCGGGCUCAACCUGGGAAUUGCGCUGGAGACUGCAAGGCUAGAAUCUGGCAGAGGGGGGUAGAAUUCCACGUGUAGCAGUGAAAUGCGUAGAGAUGUGGAGGAACACCGAUGGCGAAGGCAGCCCCCUGGGUCAAGAUUGACGCUCAUGCACGAAAGCGUGGGGAGCAAACAGG
rnacentral:rRNA from 1 species